rnacentral:tRNA from 1 species
GAAAGACUAGUUUAUAAGAAAACGUUGAUUUUGUAAAUCAAAAAAAGAAAACUUUCA